UACAGAGGGUGCAAGCGUUGUUCGGAAUUAUUGGGCGUAAAGCGAGUGUAGGCGGGAUCGUAUGUCAGGUGUGAAAGCCCUCGGCUCAACCGAGGAAGUGCACCCGAAACUGCGGUUCUUGAGUGUCGGAGAGGGUGACGGAAUUCCCGGUGUAGAGGUGAAAUUCGUAGAUAUCGGGAGGAACACCAGUGGCGAAGGCGGUCACCUGGACGAACACUGACGCUGAGACUCGAAAGCGUGGGUAGCAAACAGG
rnacentral:rRNA from 1 species